GGGAGGUAGUGACAAUAAAUAACAAUACGGGGCUCUUUUGGGUCUCGUAAUUGGAAUGAGUACAAUUUAAAUCUCUUAACGAGGAACAAUUGGAGGGCAAGUCUGGUGCCAGCAGCCGCGAUAAUUCCAGCUCCAAUAGCGUAUAUUAAAGUUGUUGCAGUUAAAAAGCUCGUAGUUGAAUUUCGGGGUUGGCAGGUCGGUCGUGCCAAUGGUAUGCACUGGCUCGCUGACUCCUCCUUCUUGUAGAACUGUAAUGCCAUUAAUUUGGUGUUGCAGGGAAACAGGACUGUUACUUUGAAAAAAUUAGAGUGUUUAAAGCAGGCUAACGCUUGAAUACAUUAGCAUGGAAUAAUGAAAUAGGACGUUUGAUCCUAUUUUGUUGGUUUCUAGGAUUGACGUAAUGAUUAAUAGGGAUAGUUGGG
rnacentral:rRNA from 1 species